rnacentral:rRNA from 1 species
GCUUGGUGGAUCAGUGGCGAACGGGUGAGUAACACGUGAGCAACCUGCCCUGGACUCUGGGAUAAGCGCUGGAAACGGCGUCUAAUACUGGAUAUGAGACGUGAUCGCAUGGUCGUGUUUGGAAAGAUUUUUCGGUCUGGGAUGGGCUCGCGGCCUAUCAGCUUGUUGGUGAGGUAAUGGCUCACCAAGGCGUCGACGGGUAGCCGGCCUGAGAGGGUGACCGGCCACACUGGGACUGAGACACGGCCCAGACUCCUACGGGAGGCAGCAGUGGGGAAUAUUGCACAAUGGGCGAAAGCCUGAUGCAGCAACGCCGCGUGAGGGAUGACGGCCUUCGGGUUGUAAACCUCUUUUAGCAGGGAAGAAGCGAAAGUGACGGUACCUGCAGAAAAAGCGCCGGCUAACUACGUGCCAGCAGCCGCGGUAAUACGUAGGGCGCAAGCGUUAUCCGGGAAUUAUUGGGCGUAAAGAGCUCGUAGGCGGUUUGUCGCGUCUGCUGUGAAAUCCCGAGGCUCAACCUCGGGCCUGCAGUGGGUACGGGCAGACUAGAGUGCGGUAGGGGAGAUUGGAAUUCCUGGUGUAGCGGUGGAAUGCGCAGAUAUCAGGAGGAACACCGAUGGCGAAGGCAGAUCUCUGGGCCGUAACUGACGCUGAGGAGCGAAAGGGUGGGGAGCAAACAGGCUUAGAUACCCUGGUAGUCCACCCCGUAAACGUUGGGAACUAGUUGUGGGGACCAUUCCACGGUUUCCGUGACGCAGCUAACGCAUUAAGUUCCCCGCCUGGGGAGUACGGCCGCAAGGCUAAAACUCAAAGGAAUUGACGGGGACCCGCACAAGCGGCGGAGCAUGCGGAUUAAUUCGAUGCAACGCGAAGAACCUUACCAAGGCUUGACAUAUACGAGAACGGGCCAGAAAUGGUCAACUCUUUGGACACUCGUAAACAGGUGGUGCAUGGUUGUCGUCAGCUCGUGUCGUGAGAUGUUGGGUUAAGUCCCGCAACGAGCGCAACCCUCGUUCUAUGUUGCCAGCACGUAAUGGUGGGAACUCAUGGGAUACUGCCGGGGUCAACUCGGAGGAAGGUGGGGAUGACGUCAAAUCAUCAUGCCCCUUAUGUCUUGGGCUUCACGCAUGCUACAAUGGCCGGUACAAAGGGCUGCAAUACCGUGAGGUGGAGCGAAUCCCAAAAAGCCGGUCCCAGUUCGGAUUGAGGUCUGCAACUCGACCU